UAUCCGGCUGGGACUAAGCCAUGCUAGUCUAGGGGCUCCUUCGGGAGCACCGGCGGACGGCUCAGUAACACGCGGACAACCUGCCCUCGGGUGGGGGAUAACCCCGGGAAACUGGGGCUAAUCCCCCAUAGGUGAUGGGUGCUGGAAUGCCCCAUCUCCGAAAGCGCUCAGCGCCCGAGGAUGGGUCUGCGGCGGAUUAGGUAGUUGGUGGGGUAACGGCCCACCAAGCCUAAGAUCCGUACGGGCUGUGGGAGCAGGAGCCCGGAGAUGGACCCUGAGACAAGGGUCCAGGCCCUACGGGGCGCAGCAGGCGCGAAACCUCCGCAAUGCGGGAAACCGCGACGGGGUUAGCCGGAGUGCCCGUGCAUCGCACGGGCUGUCGGGGUGCCUAAACAGCACCCCAUAGCAAGGGCCGGGCAAGGCCGGUGGCAGCCGCCGCGGUAAGACCGGCGGCCCGAGUGGCGGCCACUCUUAUUGGGCCUAAAGCGUCCGUAGCCGGCUCAGUAAGUCCCCCGGGAAAUCUGGUCGCUUAACGAUCAGACUUCCGGGGGAUACUGCUGAGCUAGGGACCGGGAGAGGCCGAGGGUGUUCCCGGGGUAGGGGUGAAAUCCUGUAAUCCCGGGAGGACCACCUGUGGCGAACGCGCUCGGCUGGAACGGGUCCGACGGUGAGGGACGAAGGCCUGGGGAGCGAACCGGAUUAGAUACCCGGGUAGUCCAGGCUGUGAC
rnacentral:rRNA from 1 species